AAGGCGCAACGAUCUGGGCACUGUCUCAACGAGAGACUCGGUGAAAUUAUAGUACCUGUGAAGAUGCAGGUUACCCGCGACAGGACGGAAAGACCCCGUGGAGCUUUACUGCAGCCUGAUAUUGAAGGUUGGUACAGCUUGUACAGGAUAGGUAGGAGCCUUGGAAACCGGAGCGCCAGCUUCGGUGGAGGCAUCGGUGGGAUACUACCCUGGCUGUAUUGACCUUCUAACCCGCCGCCCUUAUCGGGCGGGGAGACAGUGUCAGGUGGGCAGUUUGACUGGGGCGGUCGCCUCCUAAAAGGUAACGGAGGCGCCCAAA
rnacentral:rRNA from 1 species